UAUCAAGAUAUUAAGGGUACACGGCGGAUGCCUUGGCAUUGGAUGCCGAUGAAGGACGUGGCAAGCUGCGAUAAGCUUCGGGGAGUGGCAAACACGCUUUGAUCCGGAGAUUUCCGAAUGGGACAACCCUCCCGACUUUAGUCGGGAAUCCUUAACUGAAUUCAUAGGUUAAGGAAGGUAACGAGGUGAACUGAACCAUCUAAGUAGCCUCAGGAAGAGAAAGUAAAAACGAUUGCCUAAGUAGUGGUGAGCGAACGGGCAACAGCCCAAACUAUUCUACUGUAAGCCGGUGCGCGUUGGUAGAAUGGGGUUGUGGGGCAUUGAUUGGCUGCAGUACCGUGCAGUCGGGAAGUUACAAAACAUGUUUUUAGUCGAACUGCCAUGGAAAGGGCAGGCCAUAGUGGGUGAUAGCCCCGUAGGCGAAAAGGACAUGUCUUCCUUUCAGUGACCCCGAGUACCAUGGAGCACGUGGAAUUCCAUGGGAAUCCGGGAGGACCAUCUCCCAAGGCUAAAUACAUACCAAUGACCGAUAGUGAACCAGUACCGUGAGGGAAAGGUGAAAAGUACCCCGAGAGGGGAGUGAAAUAGUACCUGAAACCAUGUACCUACAACCAGUCGGAGUCUCUCUUCGGAGGGGUGACGGCGUACCUUUUGUUUAAUGGUCCAGCGAGUUACGCGUAUGCAGCAAGGUUAAGUGUCUCAGGCACGGAGCCGGAGCGAAAGCGAGUCUGAACAGGGCGUUCAGUUGCAUGCGGUAGACGCGAAUCCGGGUGAUCUAGCCAUGGCCAGGAUGAAGCGCGGGUAAGACUGCGUGGAGGUCCGAACCAACUUCUGUUGAAAAAGGAGUGGAUGAGCUGUGGCUAGGGGUGAAAGGCUAAUCAAACUCGGUGAUAGCUCGUUCUCCUCGAAAUAUAUUUAGGUAUAGCCUCGUACGUACAGUAACGGAGGUAGAGCACUGAAUGGACUAGGGGGCCCACCAGCCUACCAAACCCAAUCAAACUCCGAAUGCCGUUACUCAAUAUACGGGAGUCAGGGAGCGUGGGAUAAGCUUCGUUCCCAAGAGGGAAACAACCCAGACCACCAGCUAAGGUCCCCAAAUACAUGUUAAGUGACUAAGGAUGUACGUUUGCCUUAACAGCUAGGAUGUUGGCUUAGAAGCAGCCACCAUUUAAAGAAAGCGUAAUAGCUCACUAGUUCAGCGAAUGCGCGCCGAAAAUUUCCGGGACUAAAACAUGUUACCGAAGCUGUGGAUUUGAUGACCUUCGGGUUGUCAGAUGGUAGAGGAGCGUUCUGUAAGCCUGCGAAGGUGUCUUGUAAGAGAUGCUGGAGGUAUCAGAAAUGAGAAUGCUGGAAUGAGUAGCGAUAAUUAAGAUGGAAAUUCUUAACACCGUAAGUCUAAGGUUUCCUGGGCAAGGCUCGUCCUCCCAGGGUAAGUCGGGUCCUAAGCCGAGGCCGAACAGGCGUAGGCGAUGGGAAACAGGUAUAAAAUUCCUGUACCAUGUAUCAGUGCGAUGGGGUGACGCAGGAAGCUAAGUCAGCCCCCUGUUGGAUGGGGGUCUAAGCGCAAAGGCGGGAUAUCCAGGCAAAUCCGGAUGUCCAUUCAACGCUGAAGCGUGAUGGGGAACGGCGCCUUCGGGCAAAGGAACUGAUGUAUGCUCUGCUGCCAAGAAAAGCCUCUAAGCGUUACUCUGAUAUGUGCCCGUACCGCAAUCCGACACAGGUAGACGAGGAGAGUAUCCUAAGGUGCGCGAGAGAACCGUGGUAAAGGAACUCGGCAAAAUAGCCCCGUAACUUCGGGAGAAGGGGUGCCUGCAGCGAUGCAGGCCGCAGUGAAGAGGCCCAAGCGACUGUUUAUCAAAAACACAGCACUCUGCUAAAUCGUAAGAUGAUGUAUAGGGUGUGACACGUGCCCGGUGCCGGAAGGUUAACAGGAGAUGUUAUCCCGCCUUGGUGGGAGAAGCGUUGAAUCGAAGCCCCGGUAAACGGCGGCCGUAACUAUAACGGUCCUAAGGUAGCGAAAUUCCUUGUCGGGUAAGUUCCGACCUGCACGAAUCGUGUAACGACUUGGGCGCUGUCUCUACCACGGACUCGGCGAAAUUGGAAUACUGGUGAAGAUACCAGUUACCCGCAGUUAGACGGAAAGACCCCAUGAACCUUUACUGCAACUUGGCAUUGGGUUCCGGCUGCGCAUGUGCAGGAUAGGUGGGAGACUAUGAAGUGGGGACGCCAGUUCUCAUGGAGUCAUCCUUGACAUACCACCCUUGUUCAGUUGAAAUUCUAACCUCGGCCCGUGAAUCCGGGUCAGGAACAUUGCCAGGGGGCCAGUUUGACUGGGGCGGUCGCCUCCUAAACAGUAACGGAGGCACCCAAAGGUUCCCUCAGCAUGGUCGGUAAUCAUGCGUCGAGUGUAAAGGCAUAAGGGAGCUUAACUGUGAGACAAACAAGUCGAACAGAUGCGAAAGCAGGGCUUAGUGAUCCGGCGGUUGGAAAUGGAACUGCCGUCGCUCAAUGGAUAAAAGGUACUCUGGGGAUAACAGGCUUAUCUCCCCCGAGCGUUCAUAGCGACGGGGAGGUUUGGCACCUCGAUGUCGGCUCGUCGCAUCCUGGGGCUGAAGAAGGUCCCAAGGGUUUGGCUGUUCGCCAAUUAAAGCGGCACGCGAGCUGGGUUCAGAACGUCGUGAGACAGUUCGGUCCCUAUCUACUGUGGGCGUACGAUAUUUGAGAGGAGCUUUUCUUAGUACGAGAGGACCGGAAAGGACGUACCGCUAGUGUACCAGUUGUUCCGCCAGGGGCAUUGCUGGGUAGCUAUGUACGGAACGGAUAACCGCUGAAAGCAUCUAAGCGGGAAGCCAGCCUCAAGAUCAGAUAUCGCGUGGGGUUUACCCCCCUGAAGGAUCCUUGAAGACUACAAGGUCGAUAGGUCACAGAUGUAAGCGUAGUAAUACGUUCAGUCGAGUGAUACUAAUAAUCCGUGAGGCUUGAUACU
rfam:Haloalkaliphilic bacterium ACht6-1 contig00080, whole genome shotgun sequence.